AUUUUUAAUUUAUAUAUACAAACAUGAAUAAGGAUCAAGAUUCUCCUAUUCAUCACUUGUUUUAUUCAUUACUAUUUUUUAAUAUUUCCUACACCGCAGCACAAAUUGAAGACACAGUCUCUGUUCUAGAACUUGACGAUAGUUACGUGGUUUUUUUGUUUUGUAUGAUGUGCUUCUGGCUUAUUCUAAACUCAGGCUUGAAUCCAAACACUGCCCUGUCAUAGCAUUUGGCAAGAAUUGAUUUCCGUCCUCGCAAGAAGAGAAAGAGAAAGAGGGUUUGGUGCUACAAGUAACUGUGAUCUUCAAUUCGUAUGAGAGACAGGGUCAGAAGAAACAACAUAUUUGAGAUCUUUCGCUUUGUUUCGCAUCAGGUACUGUCUUUUUUGUUUUCAGUGGACCCUCCAAAAUGUCAACUUCAUCUCUGUAUUCUUAUUCCAUCUUACACUUUUCCAGUUUCCAUUCUCUCUGUAAUUCCCUCUUAUUCUGUUCUGUUCCCGCAAUUUCUUUUCCUUUUAUGAAAACUCGUAACUUUAACUUUCAGCAUUAGCAUGUUCCAGCUAAUUAAACUUCUUGAAUCUGAAUUCACCCGUCAUUUUUGUGGGGAAUGCAAAAGGGGGAAUUAAUUCAGUGAAAUCAACACAACUGAACAAAAUUUCAAGAUUGAUGAGAAUUUCAACUUACCAAACUAAAUUGGCCAAGAAAGAAUCGUCCAUCAUCAAAUUUACCAAGAGCCUUCUCCAAGUAAUCAAAAGCAGCACCUGAUUCAAAUUGAUGAUCUCCUUUAUAUGAAGAGUAUACGCCACUGGUGAACGUAUCAACAUGGGAUAUCAUUUGCUCUCCAAAUUCCCUCUUGGCAGGAUCCUAAAAUUUUCCACUCAUCAAGAGUCAUGACUUCCCUUUCAAAUUACACAGAUAACUAUAUAAAAUUGAUGUAUAUUUCUUACACUUGGAAAUAGAGAUGGCCCUUCAAAGUUGGCAUCUAUAUAUCUGAUCAAAUCAAGACUUUCUCCUAAAACCUUGCCAUUGUGCUCCAACGAUGGCACCUAUAACAUAAGAAGAACGUGUUACGAUCCAUCAAUCGAAUCAAAUAGUUUUCUCCAGUU